rnacentral:rRNA from 1 species
GGGGAAUCUUGCGCAAUGGGCGAAAGCCUGACGCAGCGACGCCGCGUGGGUGAUGAAGGCCUUCGGGUUGUAAAGCUCUGUGGGGAGAGACGAAUAAGACGUGGCUAACAUCCACGGCGAUGACGGUAUCUCCUUAGCAAGCACCGGCUAACUCUGUGCCAGCAGCCGCGGUAAGACAGAGGGUGCAAACGUUGUUCGGAAUUACUGGGCGUAAAGCGUGUGUAGGCGGCCAGGUAAGUUGGAUGUGAAAGCCCGGGGCUCAACCCCGGAAGUGCAUUCAAAACUGCUUGGCUUGAGUAUCGGAGAGGUUGGUGGAAUUCUCGGUGUAGAGGUGAAAUUCGUAGAUAUCGAGAGGAACACCGGUGGCGAAGGCGGCCAACUGGACGAAUACUGACGCUGAGACACGAAAGCGUGGGGAGCAAAC